rnacentral:tRNA from 1 species
GCUGACGUAGCUCAGUUGGUAGAGCAACUCCAUGGUAAGGAGUAGGUCGCCAGUUCAAGUCUGGCCGUCAGCU